rnacentral:lncRNA from 1 species
CUUGUCCCACACGGGGUCGCGGAGCCUAACCCGGCACGUAAGGCUGGAAAGGGAGGGGACACACCCAGGAUGGGACGCCAGUCCGCCGCAAGGCACCCCAAGCGGGUCUUGAGCCCCAGACCCACCGGAGAGCAGGACCCGGUCCAACCCACUGCGCCGCUGCGCCCCCCAAGGUAAGAAUAAAGAAGGCAAUAUUAUACAUAUUGGCGAGGAUUGGGAGGGUUGGUUCACUGACAAAGUAAAAGAAAGGCGGAGAGCUGCUGCGAUGAUCUGCUUCUUCUAUUUAUCAAUAGCAAAAAUAGUGCGCUUUUCAUUGCUGGAUGAUGAUUAAUCAGGGGGACACUAAGCUGGGCCGGCGGAGGUCAAUGCACGGAUCAAUUCCGUCCUCGAAGCAGUUAGCAAUCCGAGUAAGAGGCACCGUCUGCGCACACUCUUAAAAGACACAUUUCGGACUCUUCCGUUUCUUCCCUGAAACCAUGGAUCGGCACCAUGCAAUUUAAAUCCUCGUGUUCUGGUCUUGUAUCGAGCACAUGUGUACCAUGAGUAUAUGUCAGCUAUGCGCCUAUAAGUGAAGCAUUUGUUAUCAGAUAGAAUUCAUUGCACUUAAUUAUUAGAAAUGGUAUUUUUUCCUUCAAUACUGGAUGAUAAGUGCUAUUUUCUUUACAGAUUCUGCUUUGACAGUUGCUGGCUCAGACUGCAGGAACGGCCUUUCUGUAGUACCCUUGAGUAAGGAAGUGAUGACAAGGACUGCUUCGGCUCACUACUGUACGAACGCUC